GACGGACCUGACAGGUGGGCCUCACCUGUCAGUGUCUCAGCAUGCGCGCGUGGACCGGGCUGGCUCGGUUCAGCUCGGGCGUGGUCGGGACUGGGCCGGUUCGGCCCAUUUGGCCGGGCCGGUCUGGUUUUCCUCCUUUUUUUUCUUUUAGCCUUUUCUUUUUCCCUUUUUCUCAUUUCUUUGAUAUCUUUUGAUUUUGAACUCCAAAUUGGCCCAAAUAAAUUCCAGAAAAUUUGUAAAAUCAUGUUUUAUCAUGAUUCAACUUUUGGGAGUAAUUUCCCCUCAAAAUAAAAUAUUUAAAAAUACAUUUGCCCUAUAAAUGCCUUUAGGGCUAUAUAACUAUUUAAAUAAAAUAGUUUUUCAACUCCAAAUAUUUAUCCAAAAAUUAUGGGAUAGCUUAUUUAUGCAAUAAACCCCGUUUAUAAAUAAACCCUAUUGGUUUGAAGAUCCAAAGCUCAAAUGGGUGUAAACCCUAGGGUUUAAAUUGAAAUAAAAUCUUUUAAAAGCCUU
rnacentral:lncRNA from 1 species